ensembl:ncRNA asRNA:CR45834 antisense RNA:CR45834
AUGUAUGAAUUGGAAUGAAUGAUACGAGUAUGUGAUAAUCACAGGCGAGCAACACAUAAACACAACGAAACACGGAUCUGGGGAGAUGGUGGUAAGCGAAGGAACUACCUCGUCGCCGGAUGGAGAUGCGAUGCUGGAGGUCGAGGCGGCGGCUCCGGGAGCCGAGCUGAUGCCCAAUGUGAACCCAAUCUCGGCACGGCGUGCCUGCGAUGGGUGUCGUAUUUGUUUGAUUGAUUGUUUAUUGGGGAGUUGGAAUGUAGAAACACAACCAUGAUGGGGAUUUGGAUGUUGUCAUGAACCGUGAACCGUUGCAGUUGUUGUUGUUGUCGAUUGUUUGUUGUUCGUUUAUGACAUGACACGAACCAAAAAAUCAAAACCAAAAAGACAGGAUAUAGUCAAGAGAUGU